AGUGAACGCUGGCGGCAGGCCUAACACAUGCAAGUCGAACGGCAGCACAGUAAGAGUUUGCUCUUACGGGUGGCGAGUGGCGGACGGGUGAGGAAUACAUCGGAAUCUACUUUUUCGUGGGGGAUAACGUAGGGAAACUUACGCUAAUACCGCAUACGAUCUACGGGUGAAAGCAGGGGAUCUUCGCACCUUGCGCGAUUGAAUGAGCCGAUGUCGGAUUAGCUAGUUGGCGGGGUAAAGGCCCACCAAGGCGACGAUCCGUAGCUGGUCUGAGAGGAUGAUCAGCCACACUGGAACUGAGACACGGUCCAGACUCCUACGGGAGGCAGCAGUGGGGAAUAUUGGACAAUGGGCGCAAGCCUGAUCCAGCCAUACCGCGUGGGUGAAGAAGGCCUUCGGGUUGUAAAGCCCUUUUGUUGGGGAAGAAAAGCAGCAGGUUAAUACCCCGCUGUUCUGACGGUACCCAAAGAAUAAGCACCGGCUAACUUCGUG
rnacentral:rRNA from 1 species